UGCCAGACACUAAACAGUCUGUAUUUGCUCUCUGAAUUGAUCAGAUGGAAAGUUAAUACCUGACCAUUUAUUAUGGUUAUUAGAGACAUUUACCACCCUCAGUCGAGUGAGUUUUAGUUUUCAUAUAGUAUCCACCAAAUGCAAGCAUCUGGGAAAAUCCAAAGCAUUUAAGCACCUUCAUUAGGAGAUCUGACACCUCAGCCCUCUGCAAACACCUGUACAUAACAUAUGCAUCAUUAAAAAUAAAAUAAAUUCUAGAAAAAAUCUC
rnacentral:lncRNA from 1 species